rnacentral:rRNA from 1 species
AGCGGCGGACGGGUGAGUAACGCGUGGGUAACCUGCCUCAUACAGGGGGAUAACAGUCGGAAACGGCUGCUAAUACCGCAUAAGCGCACAGUACCGCAUGGUACGGUGUGAAAAACUCCGGUGGUAUGAGAUGGACCCGCGUCUGAUUAGGUAGUUGGUGGGGUAACGGCCUACCAAGCCGACGAUCAGUAGCCGACCUGAGAGGGUGACCAGCCACAUUGGGACUGAGACACGGCCCAA